rnacentral:rRNA from 2 species
CUUAGGUCUGAUGUGAAAGCCUUCGGCUUAACCGAAGAAGUGCAUCGGAAACCGGGCGACUUGAGUGCAGAAGAGGACAGUGGAACUCCAUGUGUAGCGGUGGAAUGCGUAGAUAUAUGGAAGAACACCAGUGGCGAAGGCGGCUGUCUGGUCUGCAACUGACGCUGAGGCUCGAAAGCAUGGGUAGCGAACAGGAUUAGAUACCCUGGUAGUCCAUGCCGUAAACGAUGAGUGCUAGGUGUUGGAGGGUUUCCGCCCUUCAGUGCCGGAGCUAACGCAUUAAGCACUCCGCCUGGGGAGUACGACCGCAAGGUUGAAACUCAAAGGAAUUGACGGGGGCCCGCACAAGCGGUGGAGCAUGUGGUUUAAUUCGAAGCUACGCGAAGAACCUUACCAGGUCUUGACAUCUUGCGCUAACCUUAGAGAUAAGGCGUUCCCUUCGGGGACGCAAUGACAGGUGGUGCAUGGUCGUCGUCAGCUCGUGUCG